rnacentral:rRNA from 1 species
UGGGGAAUAUUGCACAAUGGGCGCAAGCCUGAUGCAGCGACGCCGCGUGAGGGAAGAAGGUUUUCGGAUUGUAAACCUCUGUUAAGUGGGAAAAAAUAUUAAUGGUUAAUACCCGUUAAAGAUGAUGGUACCACUAGAGAAAGUACCGGCAAACUUCGUGCCAGCAGCCGCGGUAAUACGAAGGGUACGAGCGUUAUUCGGAGUUACUGGGCGUAAAGAGCGUGUAGGCGGCUUGUUAAGUUAGUUGUUAAAUUCCUCGGCCUAACUGAGGACAUGCAACUAAAACUGGCGAGCUAGAGUGCAAGAGAGAGAAGUAGAAUUCCCGGAGUAGCGGUAAAAUGCGUAGAUCUCGGGAGGAAUACCGAUGGCGAAGGCAGCUUCUUGGCUUGUAACUGACGCU